GUCGUCGUUAUCUUUUCCGUUGUCUUCAUUCACCUUAUAUUCAGGUAUUGGGUCUGUCUGUUGUGUGUGGUAGUUAAUAAUAGCAAUGACCACAGUAAUAACUUUAGUCUUAAUAAUAGUUAUUAAUAAUAAUAAUUGUAAUAUUAUUAGUAUAAGUUAUUAACAGGUCGGCAUAACGUGAAACGUAGAAGAGGCGUCGAUAUCGGCAUCGUCUGCCUAACCGCCUCUUUCCCUUUUUCUCUUCCCAGCGCCAUAUUUGAACCACUGCUAUCAUAUCAGUGGACAUAUGCACCACUCGGGUUCGGUCUCGAGCGUCAUGCUUCGAGUCGCUCCCUUUAAUCCAUUGACCCUCAUCAUCGUCAUCAUCGUCAUCAUCAUCAUCAUCAUCAUCAUCAUCGCCGUCGUCGUCGUCGUCGAUUCAACAAUUCACAUCUUGCUUUGCUUCUUGUCCUUCGGCCUGAAUUAUUUCCUGCGUUUUGGCCUUUCGUCUUCACUUCAUUCAUUUCGUGACAUGGUUGAAGAAUGAGCCGCUGGCCUUAUUAUGAUCUCGCUUAGUUCCUCCGCGAGCGUUGUCAACGUAGUAUAGUUACAAUUUAACACUCAACUUAUUACCGCCUUCGUCAGAUUUCAGUAAUACUUCCCUUGCUUAUCAUUAAAUUCAGUCAAUUAUUAAUGUCGUUAUGUAUAUAUAACAUCUUUUCAUCGAUCACCUUCUGAUUACUAUUAGUAUUUUAUAUUUAUUAUAUUUUAUUUCAUAGUUGUUAUUGUCACUGUUAUUAUUAUUAUUAUUAUCGUUAUGAAUCUUCACCUACAUCUUCAUUAGCGUCGUACUCGCCAUAGACAGCGUUUUCAUUACUAGUAUUAUUGUUAAUAGUAAUAUCGUUAUUAUUAUAAUUAUAUUAUUUGUUUCUUAUUAAUCUUGUUUACUCGUUAUUAUUUUGCUUAUUAUUAAUUGAAUUCUAACAGCGUUCGCUUGCUCUGUCUGUCGGUCUGUGUCAGUUUGUCGCUUCGUCAUCAAUCAACUGCUCGUUCCAUUAACCAAUCAGUCAAUCAGUCAAUCACUCUCUGUCAACCAAUCAAUCACCCAACAAUCAAGCAACCCAUUAAUCAAUUAGUUUGUCUUUCUGUUGUUGUGGUGUCCCGCCAUCUGCUGUUGUUCUGCAUUAGUCCUGACCUUCCUUCAGUAAUACAGGGCCCUUGAUUAUCCUCGUUACCCCAUGUCUCAUCAUUAUGAAUAUCAUCAAUGUUGCCAUUACCGUCGUAGUUGUUUAAUGUUACUGCUGCUGCUGCUGCUGCUGCUGCUGCUGCUGUUGUUGUUGUUGUUGUUGUUGUUGUUGUUGUUGUUGUUGUUGUUGUUAAGCGGCGUGGUUACCGCAAUGUGCCUGGCAUUCAUAUUGUACCGCGCUACCUGUCGUCUGCUAUGAUACUAUGUCCGUAAUAACGAUCUAUUGUUCUAAUAACAAUAAUCCAACGACAGCGUAUCUUGGUGUGCGUCUUUGUAUCUGUUUGUGUGUCUGUAUUUUGAGUAUUGUUGUUGCGGUGUUUGUCGAUUCGAUAAUAAUAAUAAAUCGAAAUUGACGCAUGGCAAAUGGCUGAUUAGUGAAUGAUAUUGUUAUAUUUGCGAUUAUCAGGCAACUUAUUUCCUUUAGCAGGAGUCGCAAUCAGCUGACCCCUUGUACACACAGUUUCCAAUUAAGCGAUGUAACACCGAAGUUGUAUACUUGAUGCCCUAUGUUUCGAAGACUUCGCUUGUCAUUUUAGUAUUCGUGUCAGGUCGACUUCUCAUUUGAAAUGCGUAUACUAAUGUUUCUUUCGCUAUAGUUAAUUACUCUAGCAAACAUUGUCUCAUGGCUUUCGCUGGUCUAAACCGUGCUGCGAUAUAACACGAUCCUCCGCAUCCUGUGAAGAAGGAGGAGGUUUAGUUACUUUUUCACACCACGAGCCAAUUUCAUUGAACAAAUGUCAAGUCCAGCGACUUUUUUCUUUUUUUUAGAAAAAAAUCCAACUAAUUUCCGUGUAUGUGUGUGUUUUUAACGUACCACGACUUUAAUUAAUAAAAGAUACACCACAAAGGUCUUAAGGUAGCAAGGUCGUUCAUUAACUGGAUAUGAAGAUAGCAUCGGUUGAAAGUACAGUGAACAUAAAAGUGCUAUAGGAGUGGUGUGAUAUAAGUUUUGUCUUUUCAAUCCAGCGACGGGCCUGGCUUUCGAACCGGGUCACAGCUCGAAAGCGUGGCGGAAGUCUAUAUUGUCCUCGACACUUUAAGUAAAUCCUAGUUUUCCUCGGGGAAACAAAGCUUUUUCUAAAAGUAGUUCGGGUGCUGAAGCAUAAUUCAGCUCUUAUCAAAUAAGUUGUUUAGCUCUUGUUCUAUAAGCUACUCAGUGACAGUAUGCGUCCUUGAUAGGACUCCGCUACCUGAAAAUAUAGUCACGUAAAUAUCUUUAUAGAUCUUUAAAGAUCUUAUACGUUAUACUGGCAAAAUUACAAGGACAGAAAGGAAAAGGUCGAAAAAUGCAAAAGGUUAAACAUGUGAUAUCCGCUCAUUAUAGACUAGAGCUGAUCCCCUUUAUUGUUUGUCUAGCCAUGCUCAACUUCCUGUUUAGCCAACAUAUAAACGCGUGGUUAUAAACGUUCCGAUGUAUACACACGUUCUUGUGAAUUUUUAGAGGAAUGCCCUGUGUUUGUUCGUAUGUUUAUUUGUCCAUUUUUGUCGGCAUCUGUGUAGAUUUGCGUGUAUGUUACUCUAGAUUUCCCAGUAUCGGCCUGUUAUCGAGCCCGUCUGUUUUUUUUUUCAACCUUGCAAUCACGCAUGGCAAAUGUUAGGCGGUUCCGUGCACAUGGAGAUAGUUUAGAACGCAUGAUUACGUGUUUUGUCACUGACAGAGGGAAAGAGCAGUAGUCACAUAUUAAAAUAGUUGCAACCGCUUUUUAGUUGCUGGUCGGAGAAAUCACCGUGGAUUGGUUUGCCAGCGAGAAACGGCGCAGAACACAAGACCUAUAAUGGCCUACACGCAAACACGGUUGUGAAGGUUGACGGCUGUGUGUGAUUGUAUGUCCGUACCUGUGUUCACGUAUUAUUUUGAUAUUUUACGUCGAUAAUUUUGCUGUGUUGUUUUACGUAAUAUUAUUUCUAGUAACAAUCAAAAUUGGGACGCGAGAGACUAAAUGAGAAAGUAUGUCCGAGGAAAAAUGGUCGCUCAAAAAUGUGAUUGUGUGCGUUUUUUUCUAUGUGUCCUACCUAUCCCAUUAUUGUCACAGUUAUGGUGGCAAUAGUAGUUGUAGCAGAAGUAAUAGCAAGUGGUGAUAUCAUCGAUUGCUCUGUCCUGUGGCGAUACCGAACGUAGCAUGUUAUAAAUGAAUCGAUUGCGUCCAAUGAAACCAACGAUCUCUUCUAAACUUCUUUACCCCCCCCCCCCUGUCUUGUGCUGUAUGUGCUUCAUCUUGUCCCUCUCCGCCUCCAUAUAUAUAUAUAUAUAUAUAUAUAUGUAUAUAUAUAGUGCUUUCGGCGAUUAUUAGUCGGUCUCGUGUUUUUGUCUGCGCUUAUUUGUGCUGACCAGUUGCGUAUCUGACGUGUGCUUGCUGUUCUUUCACCAUCUGGACCCUCCUUCUGUUCAUGAAAAAAGUGCAUCAAAAGACGUUGCAUCUUGAAUAACUGCUUUCGAAGCAACUAUCGCGCAAAAAAAGUGGUGCUUUAUGACAAUGAACCUCAAAUCAAGAUACAAAUGGCCAACGAAUCGUUAAGUAGGUAACGUGAAUUAUUAAGUUUCUGUUAAUUUUACUCCUUUCAUAUUUGGGUCGAUCUGGUACGAUCGCAGUUGCAGAUGCGUGUAUUUUUCGUCCAUAAAAACCUUUAUGACAUCUCGCCUUAACAUCGUCAUUAUCAAUGGGUUUUGAUUUGAUCAGACUCUAGUAAUUAUGCUGAAUUUGGUCAACUUGGCCGCCACCUUUUUUACGACGCUUAUUUUCAACUCUUACACCGUCUAGCACUAGCAGAAAGACCUAAGGGCAUUCAAUGCCACUAUAGCGCCGAUUGACGUUUGGAUUAUCGGCAUCAUUGACUGCCAAUUUGGAUGGACAACUAAUUGAUAUAUUUUUCUUGUGUCUCAUUUGAUUAGUCGUGUUAUUCACAGCAACAAUAACUUUUCGACCUACUUUUUUCGCUUCACGGCCACUCGCCUGCUCUCUCGGCCGUUUUCUCAUGCGUUCGCUAUUAAAAGUACUCCUUUCAUAUUAUUUGCAUAUCACGACGGGCGGACCAUGAGGAAGAUGAGAAGCUUAAAGAAGACUUAAAGACUUCCGUAAAGUGCGAUGGUGCCCAUUAAGUUCAACAAAUGUUUGUCUGUAAAAACACGCUACCGCUGCGCUCUUACGGAGGCGUGUUUGUUUGUACACGUUUUUUUAUAUCACCUAGUGAUUCUGUUUGCUUUGCCGUCCGCUAUGUUCGUCUACGCUGCCAACUGCCAUAUCCGUCUGCUGGUUUGCUUGUUUAUUGGAAUGUGUGUAUGUAUUUUCUGUUGUGUAACAUUGUCGAUAUUUACAAUUUACCGUUCUGUUCGUUCUCCCUAUGCUUUUACGUUCUCUAUCCACGCAACGACGCCGCCGGCCUUUUGUCUGCCAUGGAGCAGUAAACAUCGCACGGUAGCGACGAGAUGUGCUUGCUUAGCUGCGUGAUGUUGCGUAUAAGUAUCUGUCCAUGUGUGACGGUUUAGGUGAUGGUAGUGCUGGAUUCAGGUGCCACGUUUGCUAUUGGCUGUUGGACUGAACUGCGGUGGCCGACACGCCAUAUACGUGCUCCGUAAGAAAGCGGAGCAGUGCCUGCCUGAGAUGCAUUGUUUUAUUAAGUAAAUCGUCGUCUCAAGUAUGAAGGAAGUGUCGACUUGGCGUUGCUAUGAAAUAGAGCGGAAAUUGACACCUUCGUGCUCAUCUCCUUCGUGUAUAUAGACACGAGCUAGCGCAGACCCUACGUUGAAGGUCAUCAUAUAGAUAUACUGAAUCGACCUGUAAUGACUCUCUGCUUAUAUCUAACAUAACCGCGAUACGUGCGCUAACAAUGAUUUGACUAAUUAAACACGGUAUAUGCACUAAAAGAACUUGACAUUACACUCCCUUUUCCUGCAAAAUGCACUUGUUUGGCGAGUUUAGCACGAGUACUGUUGUCUCCGUCAAGCCAACGAUCGGGAGCUGGUAAGUUGGUGAAACAGGCAACAGUGAAAAUUGAUCUUGUUCAGUUUAAAUAUAAGGUCCUAUGGACCUAUUAACACUAAUACAAUCUAUUAAUAGGAAAUCAUUGUAGAAAAAAGAUUUCUGAAAGGGAUUUGAAAAGAGCUCCAAGUCUGAAAACUUCUACGUGUGGUAAAAACGAGCAAAUAGUCAUAGCAAAUACAUGCGAUAAGCUGAUAGUUAACGAAGUUCGUGGAAGCGUGUCUGAGCGUGAGCAUCAUAACAUUUAAGAGUUAGAGACAUGUAUAUAUUGUUGAUGUUCCCGUUAUGUGUAUCUUGCGUGGCGGAAUAGUGACCUUGGGCGAGAUACGGAGAAGGGAUUCGUAUGGUGUUUGUCGUUAUUGUUCUGUAGUGGGGGGAGGGCAGUUUCUAUUAAAGCUCACGGCUAUUACCCAGGCACUCAGCACCGGCGGGCCAAAGCAGCACAACUCUGUUGACGAUAAUAACACCGGCGAAGUACGUACCCCUCAUUGAUUCGAAACGAUUCAGUCAAUAAUUGGCAGUCUAUGUCUCAACAAAGGUUCUGACCUUCCAUUGGCUCCUCAUCAACAGUGGAACAGUGAAGUUGCAAAUUGUUAGUUUAAUAUUCCGAGGGUUAGCCGGGCCAGAUCCAGCUAAAUCGGGCAAAUCUGUUGGUAAAAAUACCCAGCCUUCCCCCCACCGACAAUUAACGUUCAGCCAAGUACUGAUAGACAAAUAUGCUUGCCAAUUAGAAACCGUAAAAGUAGAACAGGUAACGAGCUUUGUGAGUUGAAGUCACCCACAGUCGUCGAUGGCCAAAAAUAAGAGACUCGAGAGGACGAAUCUCAAGACGAGAGCGUACCGCAAGUUCAUCUGAUGACAUGCGCGAGCCAAAUAGAAAGUCUUUGCUUUCUCAGGUCGCACGGUCACAUGCAUUUCACAUCUGUACAUGUUAAGCUUUGGAUAAAAACAUCUCGCUUUUCAUCAUCUUGAUCGGUGCUGCUGGCAAUAAAUUUCCAAUCAUACAUUAUUAGCAGACAUAGUUCUGAAAUACGAGAAAGUAAUGACUUUUUACGUUUUAUUCAAUCGAACGCCUUUUGUCAUUUUUCAUUCGGCGGGUUAUAACUGGAACGCUAAUCUCUAACCAACGACGCUGCAAUGCAGAAAGCAUCAUUAUCAGCGCCAUAUGCCAUACCAAGAGCGACAUUUCUAAAUAACGCGUAUUGUGUAUACGUAUGCAGUUAGAGCUUACGUUAAUUUGCUUUUUCUGCUAACUUUUUCGGUUACGUCGGCAGCACGGAAAUUCGAUGGAGCUUUUGUUCUGCUCUUCCAGGCUCCAGGCUUCGCUAUCUGCUUUUGCCAGCCAUAUGGAAAUUAAGGCGAUCGUCCUCUAUUAUCUAAUAUCAUUAAUUCGUCUGCAUAUUAAUUUUCGAACCGAAAGACCGACUUAGGUCUCGGCCACUGGGCUCGAGCGGAAUCGUUAUACCGGGCUCACGUGAUGGCAGGUCAGAUCACAAUUGUUGAUGACAGUUCUCUGGGUUUCCGGCUUCUUUUUUUACUAGUUAUCAUGACGAUAAAAGGGCAUCGCUCUCGCAUAGUAGAGAUAUAUUAUUUAUAUAUUUAUAUAGAUUCAUGUAUAUAUAAUUAGGUAAUCAGUUGUGAAUGUACGUGUGUGCUGUUGUUUCUGCUUAUUGUUAAUGUUGUGUAUCAGGCCAGUCGCAUCGAGAUGAGAAAGUUGCAGUCGGACCGACAUACUUGCUCAUUCACCCGUUGCACGAUAAUCAUUCGUAAUUACAUCAUACAGUUUCCCAGGUACUUAUGAAUCUGUAACCAUCCGCAACCGUCGUCAGCGCUGCACACCCUCAAUAUCAUGCCGCGAACAGGAAAUCGACUCUUCUUGUCAUAUUAAAUUCAUGUUGUCCUCCAUAUCCAAGGUGUAUUCAAGCAUAUCAGUGUAAUCAUCUUCCCCUUUCUUUAUCUUAAUUUUCUUGUUAUCUCUCCCUAUUUCAUCACCAACAACAUUAUCAUUAUGAUAGUUAUUUGCACAUCUAGCUUGAACUAGUCAAAUUUGACUUUAGCAGAUCUCAGUUCGUUGUCGUAUUUCGUGUCACACUACCAUUUAUUAUUAUGUCAUUAUGCCUAUGAGGAUUGAUUUAUUAAUGUUAUAAUUAUAGUUGGUAGAAGUACACGCUUUGCUACUCUAUUGUUUUUCUCAAUAGAACGAAUCGAAGGCUUCGAGUCUAGGCGCGCCCGCUGGUUACAUUGGGGUUUCCCUCCAUCUUUUUAAAAAUGCUUAAAGAAAUAUCAGGAUGAAACAGUCUCAUCAUUAUUUACCAGCGUCGCCACCGAGUGGCCUUUAAGUCAAUAUCGUCUGCUACUGACAACGGAACCAUGAAGGAAGAGUAACCAAGCGACUAGCGCCAAUGAAAAGUCGCGUUAUUUGAGGGCGUGCCGCUUGAGCUGCGUCUAUCCAUUAUCGCGCCACACUCAGAGCAUCGUUAUCAACAUCGUCAUCAUUUGUGGCCGUAACUUCUUUCGGCUGUCAUGAAUUUCAGCGUUUGUUCAUAGCACAUGUCGUCCCCUGGUU
rnacentral:lncRNA from 1 species